CUGUGACUGGGAAUCCCAUUGUCAUUUACUAUUCUUCACUGUCAUCUCUUAUUCUUUGAUUAUUUCUCCAUAAGAAAUAUUUGAAUGAAUGACAGGAAACAUCAUGAACAUUGCACCUGCAAGAAAUAUUUAACACAUCCCUUUUUGGACAUUUUGUUAUUUUUCUCUAAGCUGCUCCCCUUUUCAUUGUAUUCAGGAAAGAUCAUUAAGCAUUUCAAGAGCAAAAACAUUUCACCUUCAAAACUUUGGUACUUCAGUCAUAAUAUUGUUAUUAUGGGGCUAUAAAUCUAAAAUGGGAUUAAUUUCCUCUUUCCAGUACCUAUCAGCUUCCAUUUGGAAGUACCUUUAGAUUUCUACCCUGGAGGCCCAAUCUCGUGGCAAGAAUUAUUCUUUAUUUUGAGCAAUGCCUCCAAGUCUCUUAGGUCACACACCACAGGAAGACAAUGUCAUGUCAUUGCAUUUUUCUAGGAAGUUGAAAUAUAUCCUCAAAGUGCUUUUACCAAAUGCAUGAAAGUCAUCAAUGUGAAUCCUUCCCAAUAUGUUAUUAUUAUAAUUACAUGCAGUCAAUGCUUUUUGGAUUGUGAAUCAUUUUUAUAAGUAAUAUAGCAUUUGAUCCUCUCAAUAAUUCUGUAGUUAUCCCACUUUGUGGGUUGAGAAAACUGAGGUUCAGGAAAAUGAAUGGACUUUCCUUAUACAACUAAUGAGGGGGUAAUGGCAGAGGAUUUUGGAGGCACUUCAGGCUCCAAGGUUGGGUCUUUGCUUGACUUCUAACAGAGCAUAAUUCUAAGAUGCUUAUCUCGACAGUCACCAGAAUACAGAAGACGGGAAAGUCACCCUGAGAAGUACUGAGCUGGCCUUUGCAUAGCAUUGAUUUCUAGAAUCAUCCUCCUUUUCCUGCUUCCCUCUCUCCCCACUUCCUCUUUCUCCUCUCCUCCUCACCUUCAUCAUCCUCUUUUUCUAGACCAAGUCGAAAUUGAACACCUUAGCUGCUAGUUAAGAAAAAAUUCCUUAGGGUACAGUGCUACAAGGAUAUUAUGGAGGUGAUGGAUCCUCUCAUUCACCCAACUCAUUGUCAUGUGAAUUCCUCCUUCAGGCAGGACCAGGUAUGGGAAGUCUUUCUGAGCAAUGUGUCCCACCUGGGUCAGAGUGUUUGCAAGUUCCCACUGAAGAGACACAGAACGAGUGUUUUAUCAGUGACAGUCAGAAAAGCUGGUUCUGGUUCCUCUAGGUACAGACACAGGGACUUAGAUGUGGUUAAUCAUUCCCAUUCAUAAAACUCCCAGUGCUCUAAAUAAAAAUGUUUAAAUAUUUAAGAACAAGUCUAACCCCCAAAAUAGAUGUGUUAUGAGCUGCCAUAGCAACAUUUCAUAUAAUUAAUCAUAUGAUGGUCCAGAAAGAUGAGUUCUCUCUUCCACCUGUAUCCUUGACCCCCUCCGAUCCCAGGGGUGCCACAGUCAGUGGAGUACAUUGGCAGCCAGGCAGGGAACAGAGGGGUGGAGAACUACUACAUUAAGACAGCUGCAAUGAACCAGAGGGUGGUUUUUUUCAUGUUUUAGAUUGGAUAUUUUGAUUACCUAUCAGCAAGAGCCAUUGGUCUAAACAGAACAUUUUGUCUCUUUCACAUUUUAUAAAUAAAAGCCUUAGCUUUAAAUUCUUUCUGAUUUCACUGUUCCCUUUAAAGUUCACUCAUGUGGAAUCCAGGAUAGGGUGACUAAAAUCAUAAUAUCGCCCCCUCCCUACAAUCUUCUCCUCAAUCUCUAAGCCUGUAUGAUCAUUUUACUGUUUAGAGAAGGUGGUAUUAACCUAACGCAGAGCUUUUCUGGGGGAAAAAAACUUGUCUGCAUUGUCAUUUUCAGUGACAAAGGGAGGAGAAAGCAUGUCAUAAAACACAUUUCUCAAAAAGAACACUUCAGACUCCUGGUGGGAAAGUAGUCUGCAGCAAAACAACACUAUUACCGAAUGAAUUCCUAUGUAAGAGUGUUGGGCUGUAAGUAAACCAAGGGUAGGAGCAAGUCUUAUCUUCUUUUACUCGCCUUCUGUGCUCAUACAGCUCCUUAUCUAUGAAGAAUAUGCAAUAUUUGUGUUUGUUACUUUACUGUUUGUUUUGUUUUGUUUUCCUCCAGAUGACAAUAUGGCUUCCUAUCUCUCUGGAAACUUCUUUGUUAUUUGGAAAAGAAAAAGUCCUUUUACCUUCAGAUAGCUGGCUUGCAAUACACAGCUCCAAGGAGAGGAAAAAAAGAAAUGAAAGUGUAGGACUCCCAUAUUAGGAUCCAUAUAUGGGAGUAGCUGGUUGAAUCCCUUGAUAAUCUUCUUCCUCCUUGGAACCCUAUAGGCUAUUAUAACUGCCUUCUAUUAUGAUUUUGAAUGUACCUAUGUCAAGCUAUGCUACUUUCCUACCCAAUUGAUUACCUGGUCCUUAAGAGGAAUGUGCCUUAUUCAUGUUACACCCUUUAAAACACUUAUAAUACUACCUAGUUCCUAAUAAAUGUUUAAGAAACAUUCAUUGAGUAUCUUAUCCUGGAUUCCCUAAGAGAAAAAAAUAGCCAGUUACAAAAUAUUAUGUGCUAACACUACUGUUUGACCUUAUAGAACUGUCUUUGGAGAGACUUGUCUGCAUAUGAACUAGCACCUCACAGGACUUUUUUCAAUAUUUCUUGUCUCUCAUUGGCCAAAGGUGAAUAGCCCCAAUGCCAUUAAUUUCCCCGCACUUCUAAGCUGCAUGUGCCCAGGCUCUGAGUAUGUCUACAGCACCUCAUACCUGACAGCCACAGAUAAAAAGCAAGUUGACUGGAGCCCUCACAGAACUAGUCACCAUAAUAUCAGCUGAGGAGAAACAGGUAGCCUAGGACCCCAAAAACAGUGAGACCAAGAGAACCAAAGGUAGAGCUGAGGAGGUAUCUGAUACUUUGGCCAAAGUUGCUAGAGUUCUUGGAUGAAGGGCUGGCUGAAAAGCAAAAUUCUAUUAAAUAGUUUCUGAGUUUUACUGGGAUGAAUGUCAUUCGAUCAUACUUGUGCUAUAAUGUUAAGGUACUGCCUUGGAACCUUCUUAUCAGAAAUGUUCUUAAUAUUUACAGCAAUGCCAAGUACACUCCAUAUGAACCAUAUAUGUAUGUAUGAAAUGAAUGUGGUUAAAAAAAUGGCACAAGUGUGACCUUAGUGCUAAGAUCAAGUUUAUCGACUGAACGCCACAGUGGAACCAUACUGUUAAUGAUGCAUUUGUUCAUUCUUCCUCCAGAUUACUCAACUGUGAACAACAGUAAAAUAUCCAUGAGAAUUUGUAUAUAAACACAAAUGAGCAGGGAAGGUCAGCACAUUUGUUCCAUACAGGUAAAUACAACAAGUUAUCAAAUGAGUUUCUACUCUGACCCAGACAGGUACUGAAGACACACAAAUAAGAAGAAACCCUCCUUUCAAGGUACUCACACUUUAGGAGAACAGGUAUACAUCUAUACGGCUGUAUCAGAAUGUUAAGUUUCCACAUUGUGAAUACAAACUCAAUGGAGGAAUGGUUAGGCUUUAAAAAAUAAGGGAAGGUUUCAGUAAGGGGGUGCAUUUAGGUGAGCCUUUAAAGAAUAAACAGAAAUUUACUAGAAGAAAGAAAGGGAAUAACAUUCUAGACAGAAGCAACAGAAAAAGAGAAAGGUUCCUGUUCCAGUAAACAUGAUCUUAACUGAACAAUUUCCUUCUAGGAAACUUAGCUGCAUCAGUGUUAACGUCUUAAGAGUUUCUCUCAUUCUACCCUAGGCCUGAAGUUUGAGUUGGGGUAAAGAAAAAGAUACAACAUAAAGAAGCAUUGGGAUGAAAACCAGAGAAGAUACUAGUAUAGUACUCAGUGCCCAGGGCACACCCAAUGUGAGAAACUCUUCAACUCUCCUCUUCUUGCUCUUGGAUGAUGAAUCCCCUUUCCUUUGUCUAGUUUCCAGAACACCUCUGUUGUCCACAUCAUUUCAGGCUAUUCCUUCUCCUUUCUCUCUAUAUGACCUGGGCUUGUUCACAGCAUGGCAAUACAAGACUUUUGAUUAUAGGCAGCACGGAGACAGAUGAUACUUUCAAUAUACAUCUAUUCUACUAUGAUAUUCUCAUUUAUGUCAAUUUCUACAGUAUCCUUUCUUUGAUUAAAUAGACUUCCAAAAAUGA